rnacentral:rRNA from 1 species
CGAUAACGAACGAGACCUUAACCUGCUAAAUAGCCCGUAUUGCUUUGGCAGUACGCUGGCUUCUUAGAGGGACUAUCGGCUCAAGCCGAUGGAAGUUUGAGGCAAUAACAGGUCUGUGAUGCCCUUAGAUGUUCUGGGCCGCACGUGCGCUACACUGACAGAGCCAGCGAGUACUCCCUUGGCCGGAAGGCCCGGGUAAUCUUGUUAAACUCUGUCGUGCUGGGGAUAGAGCAUUGCAAUUAUUGCUCUUCAACGAGGAAUCCCUAGUAAGCGCAAGUCAUCAGCUUGCGUUGAUUACGUCCCUGCCCUUUGUACACACCGCCCGUCGCUACUACCGAUUGAAUGGCU